GACAGCAGUAGCCGCGGUAAUACGUAGGUGGCAAGCGUUGUCCGGAAUUAUUGGGCGUAAAGGGCUCGCAGGCGGUUUCUUAAGUCUGAUGUGAAAGCCCCCGGCUCAACCGGGGAGGGUCAUUGGAAACUGGGAAACUUGAGUGCAGAAGAGGAGAGUGGAAUUCCACGUGUAGCGGUGAAAUGCGUAGAGAUGUGGAGGAACACCAGUGGCGAAGGCGACUCUCUGGUCUGUAACUGACGCUGAGGAGCGAAAGCGUGGGGAGCGAACAGGAUUAGAUACCCCUGUAGUCCCUGUCUCUUAUAA
rnacentral:rRNA from 1 species